AAGAGAGAAACCUUUUUUGAGAAGAAAAGCUCGAUUCUUUCAAUGAAUUCGAGCUUACUUCUUUAGGGAUAAACCGGUGAGAUUAGGGUUUGAAUUUGGGUUUCGUUUUCUUUGUUUUUCCAUUGGAGUACACUGUGUGUGUGCGUGUGUGUGGCUGCCGUGAGUGUUGGAGGCCCCACUUGGAUCUUGGACGAGGACUCGGAGAUUGAGGGCUGAGCCGGAAAAUCGACGACCGCCGGAGCAACCGUCGGAGAUAUAUCGUUCGCAAUUCUGUGUGAAUUGCAUGGUUCUGUUCCUUACCUUUGUCUUAUUCAUUUUUCAGCAUAAAAUAAAUUAUAUUAUAUUCUAUGUUAAUUGGCAUUAAUAUUUAGAAUAUAAUAUAAUGGAUACGUGACUCACAUUCUGCUUAUGUAUGUUGCUGAUUGUUGUUUUCUGUUUUCGUUAAUUGCUGUCAUCAAUUUAGUUAUUAAUUAAGUGUGUUGAUUAAUUAUAUUAUAUUAUAUUUUAAUUGUUUCUAAUAAAAUAUGAGUAUUUUGAUUUUGUGUGGUUUGUCUUCUCCGGGCGGAUACCCAACAGUGGUAUCAGAGCUUUGUUAAGGGUCCGUCCGGAGCGGCGUACGAAACCCUGGUCCAGGGGUUUCGCUCAGGUAUUAAUUUCUACUCUUGGUGAGUUGAUUGAUUCUUUGUGAUAAAUAUACCUGGUAUUGGUGAAUCUUGGUGAUUCUUUGUUUAUUGCUUCCGCUAAUAUUUUGUGUGAAUCUGUGUGAUUCUUUAUCUUUGUGAUAUUUGAAAAAUUGGAAUCUUUGUGAUCCGUUUUUGCUCUGAAAUUGUGAAUCUUUGUGAUUCUAUAAUUGUGUGAUUUUUUGAAAAAAAAAAAAAAAUUGUGAAUCUUUGUGAUUCGAUUUUGCUAAAGUUUAUUGAAUCUUUGUGAUUCUCUUGUGUGUUGAUCCUGCUGGUAUUUAAUCUUGGUGAUUUUGCUAUCUUUGUGAUACUUGAAUAUGGGAUCUAUGUCUAUGUUAUCUUUAGCUCCUUUCGAUGGAAAGGGUGAUUUUUCUAUUUGGCAACAAAAAAUGAAAGGUAUUUUAAUUCAUCAAAAAUGCUUUAAAGCGAUUUCUCUAAGUGAGGAAGUUUUUAUAACUGUUGCUAAACGUGAAGAACUUGAUGAUCUUGCUUAUUCUGCUAUUAUCUUGAAUCUAAGUGACUCUGUGAUUAGAAAAGUAGGAAAGCAUGAUUCUGCUAGAAGUUUAUGGGAUAAAUUGGAAGAGCUUUAUGUUGAAAAUUCUUUGCCCAAUAAAAUGUUUUUGCUUGAAAAGUUUUUUGGAUUUAAAUUGGACUCUCGCAAAAAUAUUGAUGCUAAUAUUGAUGAUUUUACCAAGUUAGUUCAAGAUAUUAAAUUAACUGGUGAUAAGAAUAUUGAUGAUUAUACCCCUAUUGUGCUCUUGAAUGCUAUUCCUGAUGUUUAUAAUGAUGUUAAGUCUGCUAUUAAGUAUGGUAGAGAUAAAAUUACGUUAGAUACUGUGAUCAAUGCUUUAAAAAGCAAAGAGCUUGAAUUGGGAAUUAAUAGGGAUAAAUCAUUUAGUGAAGUUAAUUUUGCUAAAGGAAGUCAGUCUAAUCGUUUUCAAAACAAUAAGGCUUCUUCUAGUCAAAUUGAUCAAACUAAGAAAAAGGGUGGAGAUUGGAGUAAGUCGAAGGCUAAUCCUAAUAAUAGAAGGUGCUUUAAUUGCGGUGACCAUAGUCAUUUUAUUAGUGAUUGUCCCAAGCCUAAGAAAAACCAACAUAGAGAUCAAGCCAAUAUGAUAUCCGACGGUGGUGAUGUAUUCUAAUGUGUUAGAAUAUUUGCAUUACUUUGUGUUUUGCUUGUUAUUUGCAUUACUUUGUGUUUUGCUUAUUAUUUGCAUUACUUUGUGUUUUGCUUGUUUUUGCAUUACUUUGUGUUUUGUUUUUUAAACUUGUACUAACUUUGUGUUUUGAGUGCAGGAAGUGUCAUACGGCAAUGAUGACUUCGUUUCUCCUAAAAGGGUCCCGAUGAUCCAUUUGUGCCAGGUGGAGAUUUGUAGAGUAUGUGGCCCAAAUGAAUUCUUUGUGAAUGGCCCAUUAAAAUUCCACCUUGCAGCCCACUUACGAGCAGCCCACAAAAUUUGAGCCCAAAAUUAAAAGUCAGCCCAAUCUCACUAGGUUUUCCCUUUCUCUCUCUCUUCACCUCUUUUUUCUUAUAUCGGUGUUUUGUUUUUCCCAGCAGAUUUGUUUUCUAAUCUGCUCCUUUUUUCUCUCAACAAAUCUUGGUGAUUUGUUACCUAAUUCUUAGUGAGUUUGGUAGAUAAUUUGGGCGUAUAAGUGCACCCUUUUCUUUUUCUGUGUGAGACGUGAGUGAGACGAAAAAAGGCGUGGAAAAAUAGAGACAGAAAAAUAGAGUCGAGAAAAAUACUUUGUGUAUUUGAGAGGGAAAAAUAGAGUGAAAAGAGAGAAACCUUUUUUGAGAAGAAAAGCUCGAUUCUUUCAAUGAAUUCGAGCUUACUUCUUUAGGGAUAAACCGGUGAGAUUAGGGUUUGAAUUUGGGUUUCGUUUUCUUUGUUUUUCCAUUGGAGUACACUGUGUGUGUGCGUGUGUGUGGCUGCCGUGAGUGUUGGAGGCCCCACUUGGAUCUUGGACGAGGACUCGGAGAUUGAGGGCUGAGCCGGAAAA
rnacentral:lncRNA from 1 species